rnacentral:lncRNA from 1 species
ACCUUUUAACUCCUUAGCAGUUAUCCUACCACUAAAUCCAACUAUAUUACUCUUUUGUUGAGGUCCGAAGCACCUUUCUACAACCUCAAUGUUUGUAAGACACAAUUCAGAUAGCACAAAUUCUUUGAUUUUAUCCUGUAAAAUAAAAAAUUAUCUAAUUAAAGUAGUACAACACAAUAAAUAAAUAAUAUAAAUUGAAAUUUAACAAUAAACAUACAUAGUUCUCACUGGUUUUAGGUUCGACAAGCUUGUUGUUCUUCUUACGAGUCUAAAAAAAAAAAUAGUUGUCACAUUUGGUGAUUUACCAUCUUUACCUCCCUUCACAUUGCAAUAAACAAGUCAAAGAAAUCUUUGUAACAAAGAUGGGGUUUCUUAAUAGAACUAUAAGAUUUGCUCACCAUUUCAUAAUGAUCUCCCUAAUUGGUUUGCUACCCGUACGAUGAGGCAUACUCAACUUAAACCUAUUGACCGAGUUUCUUGUACUUGUCUCCUAAAUUAACAAUAUACCGGCAAAAUUUUGGUUUAGCCGCUUAAUAUAACACAAUGUUAAUAAAUAACUAUGAAAUCAUACCUUAAAUUUUUCAGUAAAAAAAUGCUCCUUGACCAGCCAUACCCAAUCACUCUUGUUUAUCUCCUUUGGAACAUCUUUAAUAGCAUAUCGGAAUGGCUUAGACUUAAUAUUCUUGUGCAUCGAUCCUCUCCAAUUGUUCCAUAACUUUCUCAUAUAUUUCAAGACAUUAUCUCGUUGAUCAUUUAUGUCAUCACUGUUAAAUUUGUCCAACAAUAGUUAGCAAGUAUUAUUAAAUAUGAAACAACUACAACAACAACAACACAAUAUACCCAGUGUAGUCCCUUGAAAGACAAAUGAAAAAAAAAGCCCAACUUCCCACAUUAUAUAAAAGGAAAAAGAGACUGAGUUAACAUAUUGUAUUAACAAGUAGAGAUAGAGAAGGCAAAUCAUUUCAAGACAUUAUCUUGUUGAUCAUUUAUGUCAUCACUGUCAUAUUAGCCCUACAAUAGUUAAUAAGUAUCAUUAAUUAUAAAACAACAACAUCAACAACAACAACAUACCCAAUAUAGUCCCUUGAAAGACAAAUGAAAAAAAAGCUAAACUUUCCAUAUUGUAUAAAAAGGAGAAGAAACUGAGUUAACAUAUUGUAUUAACAAGUAGAGAUGGAGAUAGAAUGUGUUGUAGCUUAUAUUCUUCGAUGUCUUCCCAUGAGUGUACAUGCAAUAGGCACAUAUUACGAUCACAGACCAAUAUACCUAAGUGUCUCGUAAAUGAGGCAUGAUGCUGCCCAACAACCCUAUUAUGGUAGAAAGUGACGCGCAACUUUUCUCCAGCUUUGACUCCUGCAACUUUUUUACACCUAUUCGUUCAUCUCAUUUUUUUACCUUUUCAGAAUCAUAUGACCCUGCAAAUUUAUAUUUGACCCAAAUAUAAGAUCUUGUACAAUAACAAUAAAAAAAAUCUUAUAGCUUGAGAUAAUAAAAUACUUAUUUCACUUCUCUGCGCGUCCUGCAUCUCUUCUUCUUCAUGAGGAAAAAGGGUAUCACCUUCAAAUAUUUGAUCAAAACCAGGAGGUGCAACAUUUUCUCCAACUCUGAGUCAGGCACCUUUUUUUUACCUAUUCAUUCCUCUCACAUUCUUUACCUUUUCAGAUUCACAAAGCCCUAAAAAUUAUAACUUAACCCAAAUAUAAAAAAUAGAUCUUGUCCAAUAACAACAAAAAACUCUUAUAACUUGAGAUAAUAAAAUACUAAUUUUACUUCUCUGUGCGUCCUGCAUCUCUUCUUCUUCUUGAGGAAAAAGAGAUAACCUUCAAAUAUUUGAUCAAAACCAGGAGGCGCAACAUUUUCUCCAACUCAGAGUCCUACACCUUUUUAUACCUAUUCAUUCCCCUCACCCUUUUAAACCUGAAAUUUACGAUCUUUAUGGUUGACACACUAGGAAAUAUUUGAUAAAAAAUUCAUUUGGGACCUUUAAGUUGUUCAAGAAACUGAAAAACCUAUGCUUCUUUUCAGGAGAUAAUGUUAGCAUGUCGUUGGUAAGUCAUAUUUAUCUCCAAUUUUUAUUGGAUGCAAUUCUUUCCUAAUGUUCAUUGUUUGCAAAUCCAACUGAGUGUUUAUGGUGUCUUUGUUUUUUCUUUUGAUAUUUAAGAUUGUUCCCAAAAUAUUAUCACAUAUAUUUUUCUCAAUGUGCAUUAUAUCUAAGUUAUGCCGCAAUAAAAGAGUUUUCCAAUAUGGCAGAUCAAAGAAAAUACUCUUUUUAUUCCAAUUAUCACUCCUACUCUCAUGUGAUAUUUUAAUCUUCUUCUUUGGAUCCUUUGUUAGUUGUAACCCAUCUAAAUCAACCACUUGACCAAGUAUAUCAUGACCAGACAACUGUUUUGGUGGUAAUCUUUUCUCCUUAAUGCCAUCAAAUGAUGCUUUAUCAUUCCUCCAUUUGUGAUUAAGAGGAAGAAAGCGUCUAUGGCCCAUAUAUCAUUGUUUUUUUAUAUAAUUUUGUAACCUAAUUGAGUGAGUUUCUUUAUUGCAGCAUGGGCACGCUAGUUUUCCCUUUGUACUCCAUCUAGACAAAUUUGCAUAAGCGGGAAAGUCAUUCAUGGUCCAUAAAAAAGAUGCAUAUAACACGAAGUUUUGUUUAAUUGACGCAUCAAAGGUCUCCACUCUAGAUUCUCACAAUUCCUUUAAUUCCUCUAUCAAAGGCUGGAGAUAGACAUCAAUAGCAUCUCCAAGACCCUCAGGACCAGGAAUAAUUAUCGACAAAAAUAAAAUUUUCUUUCUUCAUGCAUAGCCAAUGUUGUAAAUUAUAAGGAAUAAGUACCACAAGCCAAUUGCUAUAUGGAGUUUUGAAAUUUUCAAAUGGUUGAAAACCAUUGCUAGCAAGUCCAAGUCGAACAUUAUGAGGCUCGGAUGCAAAAGAUUGAUGAAGUUUAUCAAACGUUUUCCACGGUAUUGAAUCAGCUGGGUGCCUCAUUAUUCCAUCAUCAACUCUUUUGUCAUUAUUCCUCAUUACAAUCAUUCUUACAUGCAUCAAUCUUCUUGUAAGAAAGCCCUAGGUGCCGAAUUACCUUCUUUGCUUCGUAAUAUGAAUCUGGCAAGUUUGAUCCAUCCAGAAAUAAAUUUUCCUUCAAGAUCUUCAAAAACAUUGUAAAUGAUGCGUUACUCCACAUCAUCAACUCUUUUGUCAUUAUUCCUCAUUACAAUCAUUCUUACAUGCAUCAAUCUUCUUGUAAGAAAGCCCUAGGUGCCGAAUUACCUUCUUUGCUUCGUAAUAUGAAUCUGGAAAGUUUGAUCUAUCCGGCAAUUAAUCUUCCUUCAAGAGCUUCAACAACAUUGUAAAUGAUGCGUUACUCCAAUUACCAAUACUUUUGAUAUGAAGCAACUUUACCAAAGUAGAUUAGAAACUUUUGAAUCUUGGUACAAUGAUUGCUCAAAAUCUUUUAAGAUCCUAUAGAAUCUUUUGCUUCAAUAUUUUGUUUCUCCUCUAACGGCCCGUCACCAUCAUUGUUCAUAUUGUCUCCUUUGGAAGUGGGAUAUAAAUCUCUUAAAAUAUCAUGUAUUUCAUCCUCACCAUCACUCUCUUUAUUGAUCUUAUCACCUACAAAUUCAUAAUUCUGAAGAAAACUCACCUAAUAUUUCCCUAUGGUAAUACCAAAGAGUAUAAUUUUGGACCAUUCCGUGUACUUUUAAAUGUGACCUAACCAGCUCACGUGUUCCUGAAAUUGCAUUACAAUAUUUGACGCAUGGACAACGUAUUUGGUGUGUUUCUCCCAAUCUUUUAAAAGCAUAAUCAAGAAAGUUCUCCACCCCAAUAAUGUAAGUGUUAUCAAGUCGAUCAUGAAUAAGUUCCAUCCAUUGCUUAUCAGGUGCCACAAUCUGGUGUAUACACAAAAUUGAUAUACAUAUACAGUCAACCAAAAAAUAUUCGUAUGACAAUGAACAAGAAAUGAACAUAAGCGAACAAAAACAUAUUAGUCACAUUUACUAAGGAAUAUUAGUCAAUUUACUUUUGAAGAUUAUUUUAAUAAUGUUUGAAAUUUUCGGCAUCAAAGGACAAGCUUUGAUCGGCCAACUUGCACCUAGACAAUUGCUUAUUAGAGUUGACCAACAUGAUAGACUUCAUUAAUUCACUUGCGAGGUUAGUUAAAUGUUUUAAAUACAACGGUAAGGAGCACCAAAUUAGGGUAAUUUCAUGGUCCGUUGGUUUUAGUGUAAAGGAGAAAACGACGAAGGCAGCGGUUUGGAUUUCGUUGCCGAAUCUGCCGAUGGAGCUGAUUGCUAAUAAGGCUUUACUGUCUAUAGCUUCAGCUAUUGGUAGGCCCAUAGCCAUUGAUAAAGCUACUCAGAUCAAGUCACGUCCUAGUGCUUCAAGAGUUAAAAGUGAUUCUUGAUUUACUGGACAAAUUACCUGAGAAGUUGCGUUUGCAAUUUGUGGAUAAACAAACGGGCAAGCUUUUUGUAUUCUUUCAAGAUUUUGCUUAUGAUAACUUACCAUUAUAUUGUAACUAUUGCAAACAUCAAGGACAUGAUGAAAAAGCAUGUCGCAGAUUAAAUAAAAAUACAAUAAGGAACGUGCAAGGUGCUGAAGAAACUGUUGAUAAUGGUCGUGUAUUGCCUGCUGAAGUUUUGGCUUUAGCCGAGGAGAUAAGCAAGGUGCAAAAAUUACAAGGGGAUGCUAGAGAUUAUUUAAAUGCUAAGUUGCAGCAAAAAACUAAUGCAUCAAGUCAUGCUGAUAUUCCAGUUGAUCGAUCUCUAGCUAGAGUUGCCAAUGUAGUGAAUUUAGUUAGGGAAACAGUGAUGAUGAAGGGGACUGAUCAGGUUGUUAAUGCUGGAAAUGUGGAUGAAGGAGCUGUUUAGAAUCGAGUGGAACAUGGUUUCUCAAAAUGCUGGAAGACUGGUGCAAUACAAAGCAGCAACGGAUGUUUUUGGCGUGGAUAAUUCUAAUCCAAGUAAUACUGGGACUGUUGGUGCUGUGCAGAUUUUGAAUGAAAAAAGAGGCCUGGUUACUGGUGAUUAAAGGGCUGGUUUGCCCAAUGUUAAUGAUCAGCUGGACACCGCCAAAAAAGUGCAGCAGUUAGCUGAAGGUAAAGGAGUGGAAUUGAUAGAAAAAUCACAUGGUGAAGGUCGAGGAUCAUAUGCUAUUAAGGCCCAACGUAUACCAGCUAUUACUGGUGUUUUAAUAGGUCCAGGUGCAGCUGUUGGUGCUGAGCACACCAUGACUCCUACAGGUAUUGAUACUGGUGUUCCAAAGGUUAGAGAUCAGCUGGAUGCUACGAUCAUGCUAAUAUGGAGAAAAUUUCAGCUGGUCAAUUGUGUAGUGCAGCUGCUACAUAUGCGGGGAAUGCAACUGUCGAUAGAGCUACAAUUAUAUUUUGUAAUUCUAUGGCUAAAGGAGAUGGGCAGACAGCAGUACACAAUACAAAACCUGGAGAUUGGACAGCUGCUCAGUGAAUAAAUGCAUCUCCAAGCAACAAGAAUGUACCAGUUAACAGAAAUCAGGCUAAUACGUCAAAGGAAGUUAACACCUAUAACUCUUUUGACGAUUUGAUGACUGAACCAGUAGUCGAUGAUGCUGGACAGAAGGUGUAGCAGCUUGAAUGUGAGGCAGCCUCAAAAUCCAACCUUUCAAAGACCCAACAUAGGUUACAACAGAAGCAGAAAUCAGAAGUUACAGGUACUCUGUUAAAUGUCUCAGAAGACAUGGUUAUAGUCGACGAUCCAAAGGCUGUGGAAGUGACAGGAACACUUGCAGUAGAGGAGGAUGUUGAAAUUAAUUCAAUAACAUUAAAAGCUGUUUAUUCAAGCCAGCAAAUAGUUAUAUUUUCCAGCAGUAGCAAACGAGAUCACCCCAAUGAUAAUCUGCUGAAAAGUAUGGGUGUUCGAAAAAACAUUUCAGCGGGCAAUUUCGGCGAGGUUGUGAAGGGUGUUCGUGUACGUAUGUUCAGCCCCUCCAAGCUGCAUUUUUCUAGUCCUCAAGUGGAGAAAAUCAUCAAAGACACUCAGGUUGCUGUGAUGUUGAAUGCCAAUCCCAUGAUCAAGCAACCCUUUGUCAUUUUGAAUACAUCACGCAAGAAAUUCCUUCCCAAAGUGUGGAGUCGUUUGGUGAGCAUAGUGGUGGUUCCGGGAAACCUCUACUAUCUACAAAUAAUGAUAAAGAAGUGAUCCAAGGACAGAAGUCAAGACUUGAGGGAGAAGAUCAAUGAAAUAACAGUGGAGUGCAGUAGUAACUAGGAAAUCAAGUGGGAAGAAGGUUGUCUCGCCUAAGACUCAACCAACGGAUGCUCCACAAACUGCACCAAACGCAAUUACCAGUAUUAAUUUAUUUAAUGCUUUUGCAGUGGAGGAAACUAUGGGAGUAAACUCACCAACUUUAAAUAGUGAAGCAGGUGAACAAAUUAAAUCAUCUGCUGCUCUUGAUGCUGGUGCACAAACUGAGCUUUUGGAAGAUGCUACUGUAAAUGUGGUUGAUAAGGGGGAAGCUGAUACAGUAGCAUCAAAGCCCCAACAUGUGCAACAAGUUAAAGGUUGAGAUUGGACAGUAAUUAAUCGAGCUAAUACACCACCUAGCACAACAAAAACACAAAGGAAUAGAAAUCAAGUCGUUCCAGCAAGUUCAGCAGUUGGACGAUGUGGUGAUAUGAAAAAAAUCAAAAGCUCAGACACAUUUAAAACAUUGAAUAAUGCUGUGGGGAUUUUGCAGCAUAAGGAGAUAAGUGCAAAUUCAAAAAAUAGGCAAGAGAGGCAUAUAGGAAGUGCAAAAAACUAGUAGAAUUCUGGUGCCCGUUGUGGAGUAGCUCAUGAGCAAUCAAGCACAUAGCAUUAUUCAAGAACAUAAUAAUUAUUUGAGCAAUUAACAACCAAAUAGCAAAUAGAAAAAUCUAAUUCAAAAUAAGAAAGAACUGGAAAAAAGAACGAUGUCCUAAAGGUGCAACGGCGUCAAAUCGCAAUCACAAUCACAACCUAUAUCUAAAGGUGCAAACUCUCAGGGGACCUUCGUUUAUAUUCCUAUCCUUAGUCCAUAAUAAAGAAAGCGAACUGCCUUCUCUUUUCUUACUCAAUCCGCUGCCCCAAAACCUACUUAUGCUCUGGCCUCUAUCAUCCCUCCUCCUAGUUCAGAUCCCCUUUUCUAGCAAAAAAUUCACACGAAAAGGGUACAAUUUUAAUCGUACCUUGAUGAGAAAAAACUCGAGCAGUUGAUGUCGGAAGUGACGAGCAGUUUCCCUGAGCUAAACUUCCUUCCCUGACUUAGCGUUCAAAACAGUGGUGUUAGUAUUCAAAACAGAGAUCUUAGGGUUUUUUCUUUUUUUUUUUU